rnacentral:rRNA from 1 species
AGAGUGAACGCUGGCGGUAGGCCUAACACAUGCAAGUCGAACGGCAGCACAGGAGAGCUUGCUCUCUGGGUGGCGAGUGGCGGACGGGUGAGGAAUACAUCGGAAUCUACCUUUUCGUGGGGGAUAACGUAGGGAAACUUACGCUAAUACCGCAUAAGACCUUCGGGUGAAAGCCGGGGACCUUCGGGCCUGGCGCGGAUAGAUGAGCCGAUGUCGGAUUAGCUUGUUGGCGGGAUAAAAGCCCACCAAGGCGACGAUCCGUAGCUGGUCUGAGAGGAUGAUCAGCCACACUGGAACUGAGACACGGUCCAGACUCCUACGGGAGGCAGCAGUGGGAAUAUGGACAAUGGGCGCAAGCCUGAUCCAGCCAUACCGCGUGGGUGAAGAAGGCCUUCGGUGUAAAGCCUUUUGUGGAGGAAGGUUGUAACCUAUACGUUGCUAACUCGACGUUAACCGACAGAAUAAGCGACCGGCUAACUUCG